GGCACUAUAGCCAAGUGGUUACGGCGAUAGAUUCGAAGGCUUGUUUAUCUAUUACUCUCUGAGUGUGCAGGUUCAAAUCCUGCUGGUGUCG